UAAUACGGAGGUGGCGAGCGUUACUCGGAUUCAUUGGGUGUAAAGGGCAAGUAGGCGGUCUAGUGGGUGAGGGGUGAAAUCUUCCGGCUCAAUCGGAAAACUGCCUUUCAAACUAUUAGACUCGAGGAUGGAAGAGGAAAAUGGAAUUCUCAGUGUAAGGGUGAAAUCUGUAGAUAUUGAGAAGAACACCAGCGGCGAAGGCGAUUUUCCGGUCCAUUCCUGACGCUAAAUUGCGAAAGCUAGGGGAGCAAACAGAAUUAGAUACUCUGGUAGUCCUAGCUGUAAACGAUGAGCACUAGGUGUCGGCCUCUAGGGGUCGGUGCCGCAGCUAACGCAUUAAGUGCUCCACCUGGGGACUACGGCCGCAAGGUUA
rnacentral:rRNA from 1 species